CGAACCCACACCGUCCGUCCACGCCCCUGCUUCUUUUCCGUUGCAUACCACUGGGGAACACAUACAGGUGUGUAUCGGUUCCUGCCCAACGCACCUGUCAGCACAUGUAGCUGCCUUCUCACCCCGCAGUCACGCUGUACUCCAUAGAUCAUCUGUGAGCCACAUUCAAUCACCGACACACACACACACACACACACACACACACACACACACACACACACACACACACACACACAGGACGCGCACGUGCACUGCAGUAUAGUCCCACGCUUCACUUCCCACUCAGUUUGCCGCUCCUCUGUUGUCGUUUUUUCGUCUAUCGUGCUCUCUUUACGUCUCCGAAAUUCUGAUAGUCGGCUAAAGUUGCCGGUUCUCUCUCUCGCUUGGUUUUCGCGUCUCCCGCGUCACUCAUCGGAGCGUCGCUUGUCUGCACAAGCCAGUGAAACGUCAACGCACAGCCUUUGCAGCUUUCUCGUAUCUCCUGAAAUAGACCUGUUCCCCUUCGUGCCUCUACACUUCCUCGUUUUUCCGACUCAUAGACCUAGCAGCCAUGGAGGCCCCAAGCACCCUCAACAGCUAUCUCUCCUUAGUCGAUGACUUCUUCCGCAAGACGUUCCGCGACGAGAUGUGCCUCUUCGUGGCCCUCAAAUCUCGGCAGUACUCGGAGUCUAUCCUUGGCGUGAACAUGUUCGCAAAGAAUGCGGCCGCCGUGUCUGCCGAUGCCCCGCCCGCUGCGGCGAUGGAGUCUGUCAGCAAGCUAGCAGCCGCGGACGAACUCCCCGCAACCGACAAACCUCCGACGUAUGUCAGCAAUUUUCUCUCUAUCUCUCCCCGAAUGGCGCUUCACCACGACGGCAGGGCGGAUGGCAAGAUGAAGGUCGCCUACGAGUUUUCCGUGCCACGCGUGUGCCGACUGCAGCAGGCGCUCACUCUGAAUAGCCGCGGCGCUGUCACCGUGGUGGGCAGCGUAAAGGACCUUAUUGAAGGCCUCACCGCCGGUGUGCGGGCGUCGGUGAAUACCCUCAUGCCAGCCUCCGAGGACUUGACCGUCGGUCACGUGCACUACCAACGCGGCGACAAGUAUUCGUCUCUCCGCUACCAACGCAAUGGCCUUGGAAGCAGCAACCUUCUGUUGGACUGCGGCAUCACCUUCUUCAACCUCCUCCUCGGUGCCGGGUUCGAGCGGCGGCAGCUGUCUUUCUUGGAGCACAAAGAGGGUUCUGGGCAACUGGAUGUCAUGUACGUCGGCGCCGGCUUCACGGGGGUGAACUGGUCUGUUGCCACCAAAAUAGUACGCUUGAACGACGCCUGGUCCAACGCGCGCCUGGCGGUGCUGCAACGGCUGUCGUCUACCACCGCUGUUGCUUGCCAGUACAACUUUGACCUUAUCGAUACCGUCGCUAAGGUGUCGCUCGGCUUCACCCAAGGGAUCCAGCUUCGUGUACCCAUGUUUAUCCACACCAAGAGCAGCACUCCGGUUUCCGCGAGCGCCUCUAGGGCACCGCCUUCGUCACCGUCCGCCCUGCAAGUGGACGGGUCGGCAGUGGCGAUGAUUCCUGCAUGGAGCACUCCUCUCCCCCUUCUACUAGCAGCCAAGGCUGAGAGUGAUGGCAACUGCUCAGCGACGCUGCGCGGGCUCUUUAGCAACUCCAUCCGCUGGGGCAUAGUGAUGCGCACGAACCUAUUAGAUGACAAGCCUCUGGUCAAGUACGGUCUCACCCUCUCGAUGGAGUACGAAUCGUAGUGUGAGCAUCUUCUCGGAUGCAGGUGCCGAAGCGCGUUUGGCCAGGCAAGCCCACCCACCGCGCUCGUUACAACAGCUGCGACAGAGACGUACACAGCAAUCUGCUUGUUUUUUUUUUCGUGUUGGUGGAACUGUUGGCGGUUUUCGUCAUGAUGCCCUUGCAAACCAACGCCCGCACACAAACAUUGAGUAAGAAUGAUGCGUUGAUAGUACAAAUAGAGUAACAGUGCGCCCGUUCUACUGCUUAUCGUUCUUGGGGACGAGUGAAGCGCCCAGCAUUGUCGUCGGAUUCGUGCAGCCUUUAAUCCUACGUACGUGGGAGCUUUUUUUUUUCGUAAGCCGCGCCGAAGUCAUCCGCCCUCCUCUCCCGCUCUCACAAAGCACUGUCAUGCAGGGCCACCGUGCAGUGGGCCCUCUGGAGGGUGGCGCACUGGGCAUUGGUGCACAUGGUGGGGCCGGGGGACUCCUCGACGCGCAGUGCAAACUCUUUCAUGCGCAACACCGCAGCCAGUCGCUCCUCUCUGCCGUACGCAUGCACCUGGAAGAGGACCGCCGCCGCCUCCCCCCCCUUCUUUCCGGCUCCUCGCCGCGGACCUUCAGCCGAUGCUUGGCAUUAGGCAACGCGCAGGAGAAGUUUUCGCAGCAGCCACGGCCCGACUUGCCGAUCUGAGGACGGGAUACCCGCACGAGUGAGGGGUCCGUGAAAGGGUUUUCACCGCUCUUGCUUCGUGGAACUGCCCGAAUCAGAGGGAUUGCACGGCGUCGCCGCAUGGCAGAUACCACAAACCAGGCAGACGACGGAGAGCUGCUGGAGAAGGGGGGACUCCUGCCCCUCAGCCGCGUAGCGCUGGUGCGCCACGUCCGCCUGCUGCCUCUCCGUAGCCAUGCGAGGGAGGCUACUCAGCGCAUACGGUGCAAGAAGUGAGCGUGCCGGAUUACGGUGUAGUCACAGCGCUUCGGCGGCUCUCAUGCGCGGGAGCACAGGCGUCGACACUUCUCGGAGCUGCGCAUGCACACAGACACCACACCAAGCACGAGCACACAUGACUGCGACCCGCUUGCUUGCCGCCAUCGAGCUGAAUGUGGACCAACUCAUCUGGUUCUCGGCCUGCUGCGAAGAGGGCUGCGUUCAGCACGACACAGAGAAGAGAAGGUGCAGUUUCUGCUCUUGCGGACGCGAUAUCGUUCCUCAUGGCGCUCGACACCGGCACCACACCGGUGGAGGAUGGCAUUCUGCCACGUGCCUAUGCCCAAAUGCCGGCACUAGGUGCCCGGCGCGGGCGUCGCUCCCUCUCGAUUGCUUGUUGCGAUGCUGGGUGGGAGCACAGCGGCGAAGCUAAAAAGCUUUCGAAACCAGCAACGUCAGAAGCGCUGACGUCGACAGCCGUCCCACACCGGAGGAGCACGGAUGCUGAGCUGACGAGGCGACCGGAGUCGACGCUCGACCAGCCCUGCACGGGCAUCCGUGGGCACUCUGGAUUCCUGCAGCGGCGGCUGACUGGCAGCGACAGCGUGGGGUUCAGGUGGUGUGCUGCCCACAGCUCGGCGAGAACUGCGGCACCCCCACGGCCGCCAGAGCGUCCGCCCCCGUCUCUGUGUGGUUGCAACGAGGGUGCUCGACCGUGGGGUGGUUGCUCGGUAUGCUACGCGGGCUUGGCAGGUCGCUGUAGGCUGAAAGCACACCUCGUUUCACGCUAUGAUGCUGCACGCCACGGCCUGAGGCGCCUUCCUGCUCGAGCUCACCCGGCAUGUACGCCGGCCACCCACCUCUUUCCUCCCCCUACCGUGUUACCCGCGGCACGGACACCCCCGCCACUGCCGUGGAGCAGGGCCCUGGACGCGGCCCGGUGCAACUGCAGCCGGCCCGCCCUCGACGACCAGGAUGUGGGCGUCGCGCGACAAUGGCCGGGUGAGCUGUGAUUAGGUGCGCGUAUAGUUGUGGACUUUGCACGGGGUGCAAGGAGCGGUCGAUAAGCGGAAAGUCAGUGCUGCCUUCGCCAUAUGUUCUUCUCUUGGUGCUGCUGUGAGAAGAAGUUGACUUGCCGGGGGUGUUCUCAUCUGGCUUGAUUGCUGGGCUACAGGAGACACGUGCGGCGUCGUUGGUGUGUUUUUUUUUUUGAGUUUUACAUGGAACGAUGUAUCGUCCGUCACCAGGAGCGGAAGCGUUUGAUGGGCUCGCUCUUGAGAUGACUGCGUUUUGGUGUGUGCGUGUGUGCGUGUGUGCGGGUCGUUCUAUGUCCCGUGCCGAGUUGCGGUUGUUCCUUUCGUAUGGGUAGCGAGCGUAUCAUGCCUUCUGUAAAGACAUCAAGGAACGGGGUGCGUGGCAGAGAAUGUGUUUCGUGUCAUGUUCUUAAAGCCGCAAAAGGGCCGGUCAUGUGCCACCCGCUAGUGAUUGGCAUCGUGCUCGCUUGUCUGCGAUGCGAGAAGCCCUGUGCCGGUUUCCUCUAGAGUUCUCCUACUCUCUCUUUCAGAUGCAGAUGAAGUAGGUGCUCCCGUGUCGCCUCCUUCUCCCCCACAUUCCCUCUAAUCUGCUUCUGACAAUGUGCCAUUGUGCGCUUCCUUCUCCUCCCCCCAUUCAUCCCCUUGUCCUGAUUGCGUGAGCGCUCAUGCAUCCGGGUAAG
rnacentral:misc_RNA from 1 species